GUUACUGUCGACCCAUGAAGAUCAUUGACGAUAAAUCCUGGUCGAUCUUCUACGGUCCAUGUGACGCAUAUUUCAUCAACGACGUGUUGAUGUUUUCUUCCGGAUCGAGAGAUCCCAAGCAGAACACAAGCUAGCUUGCCUCGACUCAGACAUCUGCACUUGUGGUGUUGUGUUCUGUGGCACCCUGUAACACUUUUUGGAUACAAGUGCGGCCCUCCUGAUCGUCCUCUCCCUUCUGGAAUACUAGCAGCAAGAGCUCACAACCACCAAGUGGAUAUUACCCCUUGAUUUGCCAAGGUUAUGUCCAUGUUAUCCUCUACCCUAGAAAUUGCAAAGGCCGAGUGCAUCUCCACAGCCUUCUCUGCUGCAGGAGCCACCUCCGCUCCUUAUGAGCACUUGAAUUUUUACGAUUGCACUGCACAAGAGCCUCAACUUAUCAUUUGCAUGAGGCGUGCCCACGGGAAUAUCAAAUCACUUGUUUUCGGGUGGCCGUUCUUAACAAGUGUAUCAACUACGUCCCUGGAGUUGCUACCUUAUAGCGGAUCACAGCUACGAAGCCUAAACCUCACAUAUCUUGAUGCAUCUUAUCCAAGUGACUACACUAAUUUGUUGGCACCAUUCUUUGCUAACUGUCCAUUAACAGAUUUCGGAAUCGAAAUCCAUAAUUACAGUUUCAAGUCCAUCUUGCUUAUGAAAGUCUUUCAUAAGCACAGUUGGAAAAGUUGUGCUACACUAGAGACAUGGAAGACUUUCAUAAGCAAGUGCGCAAAUAUACAGUCUUAGUCUAAUUGGUCUAAUUGGUGUUCGAAUUCGGGAUGAUGCUCUUGAAGAAAUUAUCAAGGGGUUGAAGCUUAUGAGAAGUCUCGAUCUUUCUCUGUCUGAUGGAUUCAGUGGGAAAUUUCUCUGUGUUCCAUUUUUACUGGGGGUCGAGCUCCAAAUUGAGGCACUAGCAUUGUCAGGAUGCUAUGAUUUAUCCCAAAAUGGACUUGGUCACUUUCUUCUCCAGCUUUCUCAAGAUGACUCCUCCUACCGACAUUUGAAAAAAAUGGUUUUACCCCCAGCAGUUGGACUUUGGAAGAGUUUUGAUGUGCUGUCAGACGUAGGCCUUGUCGAACUCGAGCUCUUAUCGGCGCAGCUCACAGUAGCCAGCAGGUUUAAUAUAUAGUUUAUGAUUCAUCCUUGAUAUCCACUCAAGUUUCAUCCUUGAUAAAGUUAUGGAAGACUUAAAAGCAGACGUUGGAGAUGACUAUGAUGCAGAAUUGCAGAUGACUUUUUCAUCCUCCCACCCGAUGACAUGUAAUCAAUCUCUUGGUGAAGAAGGAACUAAAUAUAGGAAGGAAUUAUUUCUGAUCUUAUUGCCAUUCUGUAUUUUUAUCAACCCUGUGGUUAGAAAGACAGAAAAGGCAGAUAGAGAAGGGUUAUGUUCUUUUCUUAACAUUAAACUUGGAGUUGGAGGUGGUGGAGGAGAUAAGAUAUGAAAAGGAUAUAUAUAUCGUGUAACGGAAUUAGGGUUUUGGUUACCGAAAAAAACAAAUUAGGGCUUAACUUAAUCCUUGGUUUA